GAUGAACGCUAGCGGCAGGCCUAACACAUGCAAGUCGAGGGAGAAGCCCUUUCGGGGGCAGAAACCGGCGCACGGGUGCGUAACGCGUAUGCAACCUACCUUUCACAGGGGGAUAGCCCGAAGAAAUUUGGAUUAAUACCCCAUAAUAUUAUUGGAUGGCAUCAUUUGAUAAUUAAAACUGCGGUGGUGAAAGAUGGGCAUGCGUCCUACUAGCUAGUUGGAGUGGUAACGGCACCCCAAGGCUACGAUAGGUAGGGGUCCUGAGAGGGAGAUCCCCCACACUGGUACUGAGACAGGGACCAGACUCCUACGGGAGGCAGCAGUGAGGAAUAUUGGUCAAUGGUCGGAAGACUGAACCAGCCAUGCCGCGUGCAGGAAGAAUGCCUUAUGGGUGGUAAACUGCUUUUAUAUGGGAAGAAUAAGGUGUACGUGUACAUUGAUGACGGUACCAUAUGAAUAAGCAUCGGCUAACUCCGUG
rnacentral:rRNA from 1 species